rnacentral:tRNA from 1 species
GGAGAGGUGGCGGAAUUGGUAGACGCGCUACUUUGAGGGGGUAGUGACAUUAUGUUGUGGGAGUUCGAGUCUCCUCCUCUUCACUA